GAAUAUGGGGGGACCAUCCUCCAAGGCUAAAUACUCCUGACUGACCGAUAGUGAACCAGUACCGUGAGGGAAAGGCGAAAAGAACCCCGGCGAGGGGAGUGAAAAAGAACCUGAAACCGUGUACGUACAAGCAGUGGGAGCCCCACCACCAAAGCGUUUCGCUUUGUGUGGUGCACAAAGAAGCGUAACGACAGCACUGAAUGACGGUUAACGGCGCGUAAGCGACGUUCAACACAAAAAUCAGGCAGUGGAGCGCUUUGGGGUGGGGUGACUGCGUACCUUUUGUAUAAUGGGUCAGCGACUUAUAUUCUGUAGCAAGGUUAACCGUAUAGGGGAGCCGAAGGGAAACCGAGUCUUAACUGGGCGUUAAGUUGCAGGGUAUAGACCCGAAACCCGGUGAUCUAGCCAUGGGCAGGUUGAAGGUUGGGUAACACUAACUGGAGGACCGAACCGACUAAUGUUGAAAAAUUAGCGGAUGACCUGUGGCUGGGGGUGAAAGGCCAAUCAAACCGGGAGAUAGCUGGUUCUCCCCGAAAGCUAUUUAGGUAGCGCCUCGUGAAUUCAUCUCCGGGGGUAGAGCACUGUUUCGGCCAGGGGGCCAUCCCGGCUUACCAACCCGAUGCAAACUGCGAAUACCGGAGAAUGUUAUCACGGGAGACACACGGCGGGUGCUAACGUCCGUCGUGAAGAGGGAAACAACCCAGACCGCCAGCUAAGGUCCCAAAGUCAUGGUUAAGUGGGAAACGAUGUGGGAAGGCCCAGACAGCCAGGAUGUUGGCUUAGAAGCAGCCAUCAUUUAAAGAAAGCGUAAUAGCUCACUGGUCGAGUCGGCCUGCGCGGAAGAUGUAACGGGGCUAAACCAUGCACCGAAGCUGCGGCAGCGAACGUAUCACUUAAAUCGAUUUACAGGCUUAACGAUUGACGGAGCGGAGCGACGUCAAAGCGUUUUACAAAGUCGAGUCGGUUUAAGGAUACGUUCGUUGGGUAGGGGAGCGUUCUGUAAGCCGUAGAAGGUGUGCUGUGAGGCAUGCUGGAGGUAUCAGAAGUGCGAAUGCUGACAUAAGUAACGAUAAAGCGGGUGAAAAGCCCGCUCGCCGGAAGACCAAGGGUUCCUGUCCAACGUUAAUCGGGGCAGGGUGAGUCGACCCCUAAGGCGAGGCCGAAAGGCGUAGUCGAUGGGAAACAGGUUAAUAUUCCUGUACUGUGUGUCACUGCGAAGGGGGGACGGAGAAGGCUAUGUUGGCCGGGCGACGGUUGUCCCGGUUUAAGCGUGUAGGUGUGUGCUCCAGGCAAAUCCGGUUCACUUUAACACUGAGGCGUGAUGACGAGGCACUACGGUGCUGAAGCAAUAAAUGCCCUGCUUCCAGGAAAAGCCUCUAAGCAUCAGGUGACACGUAAUCGUACCCCAAACCGACACAGGUGGUCAGGUAGAGAAUACCAAGGCGCUUGAGAGAACCCGGGUGAAGGAACUAGGCAAAAUGGUGCCGUAACUUCGGGAGAAGGCACGCUGAUAUGUAGGUGAAGUGACUUGCUCGUGGAGCUGAAAUCAGUCGAAGAUACCAGCUGGCUGCAACUGUUUAUUAAAAACACAGCACUGUGCAAACACGAAAGUGGACGUAUACGGUGUGACGCCUGCCCGGUGCCGGAAGGUUAAUUGAUGGGGUUAUCCUCGCGGAGAAGCUCUUGAUCGAAGCCCCGGUAAACGGCGGCCGUAACUAUAACGGUCCUAAGGUAGCGAAAUUCCUUGUCGGGUAAGUUCCGACCUGCACGAAUGGCGUAAUGAUGGCCAGGCUGUCUCCACCCGGGACUCAGUGAAAUUGAACUCGCUGUGAAGAUGCAGUGUACCCGCGGCAAGACGGAAAGACCCCGUGAACCUUUACUAU
rnacentral:rRNA from 1 species